UACGUAGGGUGCAAGCGUUGUCCGGAAUUAUUGGGCGUAAAGAGCUCGUAGGCGGUUUGUCGCGUCUGCUGUGAAAUCCCGAGGCUCAACCUCGGGUCUGCAGUCGAUACGAGCAAACUAGAGUGUUGCAGGGGAGACUGGAAUUCCUGGUGUAGCGGUGAGAUGCGCAGAUAUCAGGAGGAACACCGGUGGCGAAGGCGGGUCUCUGGGCAACAACUGACGCUGAGGAGCGAAAGCGUGGGGAGCGAACAGG
rnacentral:rRNA from 1 species